AUUGAACGCUGGCGGCAUGCCUUACACAUGCAAGUCGAACGGUAACAGGUCUUCGGAUGCUGACGAGUGGCGAACGGGUGAGUAAUACAUCGGAACGUGCCUAGUAGUGGGGGAUAACUACUCGAAAGAGUGGCUAAUACCGCAUGAGAUCUACGGAUGAAAGCAGGGGAUCGCAAGACCUUGUGCUACUAGAGCGGCCGAUGGCAGAUUAGGUAGUUGGUGGGAUAAAAGCUUACCAAGCCGACGAUCUGUAGCUGGUCUGAGAGGACGAUCAGCCACACUGGGACUGAGACACGGCCCAGACUCCUACGGGAGGCAGCAGUGGGGAAUUUUGGACAAUGGGCGAAAGCCUGAUCCAGCAAUGCCGCGUGCAGGAUGAAGGCCUUCGGGUUGUAAACUGCUUUUGUACGGAACGAAAAGCCCCGGGUUAAUACCCUGGGGUCAUGACGGUACCGUAAGAAUAAGCACCGGCUAACUACGUGCCAGCAGCCGCCGUAACAC
rnacentral:rRNA from 1 species